GACGAACGCUGGCGGCGUGCCUAAUACAUGCAAGUCGACCUUAGUGGCGAACGGGUGGUUAACACGUUGGUAACCUGCCCAUCAGAAGGGGAUAACACUUGGAAACAGGUGCUAAUACCGUAUACUGAUGGAUGGACCCGGGGUGCAUUAGCUAGUUGGGGAGGUAACGGCUCACCAAGGCCACGAUGCAUAGCCGACCGGAGAGGGUGAUCGGCCACAUGGGGACUGAGAAACGGCCCAAACUCCUACGGGAGGCAGCAGGAGGGAAUCUUCGGCAAUGGACGAAAGUCUGACCGAGCAACGCCGCGUGAGUGAAGAAGGUUUUCGGAUGGUAAAACUCGUUUGUUAGAGAAGCGGUAUCUAACCAGAAAGCCACGGCUAACUACGUGCCAGCAGCCGCGGUAAUUC
rnacentral:rRNA from 1 species